CAUAGCCAAUUCAAUAAAGAUGUCAUAGAUUACAAUACAAACUUCAUUAUUCCAACUGAAAUUAAAAUAUAAACUUCAAAGGCUAACAACAUGCUGCAGCCUUUGUUCUUAUUCUAAACAGAAAUUUUAAAAAAAAAGUCACACACUUUCUUCACAUCAACACAAAGCUCUUCAACAUAGGAAUCUAAACUUCAUGUUCAUUACCUGAAAUUUUCAAUAUAGGGGUGAGCUUCAAUAGCUCAGUAGGAGGCCAAGCCUCUUUAUAUUACAGAAACCAAUAAUGAUAAUGCAUGAAUGCAAUGAGCCCUUCAACAAUAACCCCUCACUCAAACCAUGAUUCCAUUUUUGUUAGUCCUCUUGUUUAACCUCGAUCACCAAAAUCAUAUAGCCAUAUUAGCCCACCUGAUACUUGGUCCCUACGAAUUAAACUCAACUACACAAAAACAUUCUCCCACAAAUUCCAUUCCCAAUUUCACCCAACUUCUGCCUCAAUUUUUAUAUUUAUGAACAUGAGGAAAUAAAACUCAAUCAAGUUUCAUAAACAAAAUCAUAUAACAAAACAUAAGCGAAAAACACAACAAAUUGCACAAAACUUCAUUACAUAUAGCAAACCAACACAACAAAUUUCACAGAGAUUCAUCAUAAAUAGCAACCCAGAAAAUCAACACACAAUAAAUUAAAUAGAGGUUCCCCGAAUUCCCCCUACCUCAAUUCAGAGCUAUGCUUUUACUUCCCGGAUACCUCGUUCACAAAAUUCUCUCCCUCACUCCUUUUAUUUUCUUUUCGUAAAACAGAUAAUAGACAACUCAAUGAAUAAUAAGAAAACCAAACCUGGGUAUUUAUAGGAUUAUGCAAACAGGUCAGAAUUCACUUCGAGAUAAAAUGGGAUCAAUGCCAGCUCGAUCAAAAUCGCUACCUCCUGCUUCCGGUAACUGAAUCUCCAAGUCUUCUUCCAUAACCUUGACAGCUCCAGCUUCCGAGAUUAUUCGGUUUUAUCCUCGUAGUGGUUCUGAUCUUCUAAUAUAGGUGGAGUGGUGUUUGUAGAGAGCACAAGAAUGGAGACGAAGACCAUGAAGAUGGCAGAGGACAAUUGUGAAGGGAGUGAAGAGAGCAGAAGACGAAUAGAGUUGAACACAUGUAUAUGUCGUCCUUCCACAAGUACCACUGAUCUCUUGGCUUAGGUGGAGUGGUGUUUGCAAAGAGGAUUAGAAUGGGAGGAUGAAGAAGAUAGCAGAAGAUAGUGUUGAACAAAUUGGUUUGUCGUCAAACAACAUCCAACUGAAGUAGAAGCAUUCUAAUGGUCUUGGGCUUUUUAAAGACAAUUGGACUUGGGUUUAAAAACAAAACC
rnacentral:lncRNA from 1 species